GGUGGUUCUUGGGUGACACACCCGCAGGCUGCCUCCUCUCUGGUUCUGGGUGCAUCACCCGAGACUUGCA
rfam:Myotis davidii contig132892, whole genome shotgun sequence.